rnacentral:tRNA from 1 species
GUAGUGGUGGUUCAGUGGUGGAAUUCCCUCCUUCCAUGUAGGAGACCUGGGCUCCAUUCCCAGCCAACACA